UGUGGGAGCGAGCUUGCUCGCGACUACGGUGCAUCAGUCAACAUGACCAUCGACUGACAAUCCGCCAUCGCGAGCAAGCUCGCUCCCACA
rnacentral:misc_RNA from 1 species